AAUCGGAGGGUUGGGACAAGGGAACUGAGCUCCUCAGAAGGUUCCGAGGGUGAGAAAAGCUUAGCCUCUCCUCCUCGUAUACAAGAUGAUGGCCAGCUCCAGUCCCAGCUCUCCUGGCGUUCUUGGCAGCCAUUCCCCAUGGCCAUCAUAGUUCCCCUGGUUCACAGAUCCUCCCUACAAUCGGAGACCAAGCAACAGAACAGGCAGUGAGGUCCCCUAAAAACCCAGACCAGUGCCGAGGAGGUGUCCUUUAGUGAAGACAUCUGAUGUGCAUGAGCCCAUAGGCAGUUACUUCCAAAGGAUGCUUGUGUUUGUCCCCUGGAAAAUGAAUGAAGGGCAGGGUAUGCAGAAAUGUGUCACUACAGACAUCACCAGGAUCAAGAGGUAUUCUGCUCUCUAGCAAAGUAAGGCACAGACACACUCUAGAGGAGAAAAAAGGUAUCAGGUAUUUCCUGGCUCUGAUGUGACACAGAGGGCUGCACAGAACAUCUGCAGCGGAACACCACCAGUGGGAGCACUGGAGCAGGACUGAGGACACAGCUGUAUUAUCCAGAUCAGGUCUAUGGGACAUGUAUCAGAGGAGGGCUGCUCUAGUACGGCACAUCCCCAGCUAACCACCCUUGUUUCACCAACUGACGGUCUCUCCUAGCAGCCCAGACGGUGCUGUCGGGGCGGGGGGAGGAAAUGAAGGCACGGGAAUUGUGCCAUGAAAGUGCCACGGGGAGCUCCCAGUAGUGCCCCCCUGGAUAGGAGAUUCCUUGUCAAGAGCACACUGAAAUGAUCAGCUUCCUUACAAAUGAUCCUCAUUCGUUUCUGUGAAUCCAUGUUUCCCCAGGAAACACUCUGUUCAUAACAGAUCUCCCAAACAGUCAUUCCCAGUGCUUGCCACCUACUUUGCAGAUGUGAUUUUCGAGUAAAAGCUUUCCUUCUGGUGGUACAGAGAGCCAGCUGAACCUGCUCCAGCACAGCAAAGCACAGCGGUGAGCCUGCCCAAGUCUGUUCAUCAUGCAGAAGAGAUAUCUGGACAUCAGGAAGUACUGGGCUAAUGUCCCCCACUUCAUCUUAAUUCUGAUGUGUGGGGCCAUAUGGUGUUAUUACAGAGGCACCAAUUGCUUGUUGAUGUGAUCUUUUCCAGGUAAUAAUUCAAAGAUGCUCAAUAAGCAGGUUCUCUAGUACACUGCCAUAAACAUCCCAAAGAUGAUGUCUGCAUUCUUUUUAACACUAUUUUCAUCUUCAUUCAACAUGUUUUGUGUAGCUAUGAAUUAUUUCCCAUGAUUUCAAUGCAAGAAACUUACUUAUUUCUCUGAAGCCACCCAUAAUUCUAAAAAGAAAACACUAAAAUGGUGGGUUUACGUCUUACACCGAAGUCUGAAGCUAAGGCAUUUUAAACUUCCCGAAGCUGGUGGCACACAAUAUAUCUUGGGCACUAUGUUGAUAAAAGCCUGAAAUGUGUUUGCAAGUUGCUGUUUUUAUCUGAUUUCCCCAUUGAAUACUGAAGGCCUUAUC